rnacentral:rRNA from 1 species
GUCUACGGCCAUGCUACCCUGAACAAGCCUGAUCUUGUCUGAUCCUGGAAGCUAAGCGGGGUUGGGCCUGGUUAGUACUUGGAUGAGAGACCACCUAGGAAGACUAGGUGCUGUAGGCA